rnacentral:rRNA from 1 species
GACGAACGCUGGCGGCGCGCUUAACACAUGCAAGUCGAACGGAAAGGCCUGCUUUCCCUUGUGGAUUGCGGGUACUCGAGUGGCGAACGGGUGAGUAACACGUGAGUGAUCUGCCCCCAACUUGGGUAUAAGCCUGGGAAACUGGGUCUAAUUCCCGAUAGGACUGCAGGGUGGUGCCUGUGGUGGAAAACGAUUUUCUAGUGGUUGGGGAUGAGCUCGCGGCCUAUCAGCUUGUUGGUGGGGUAAUGGCCUACCAAGGCGGCGACGGGUAGCCGGCCUGAGAGGGUGGACGGCCACAUUGGGACUGAGAUACGGCCCAGACUCCUACGGGAGGCAGCAGUGGGGAAUAUUGCACAAUGGGCGGAAGCCUGAUGCAGCGACGCCGCGUGGGGGAUGACGGCCUUCGGGUUGUAAACUCCUUUCGACCGCGAGGAAGCCACCUUGUUGGAAGGGUGGUGACGGUAGUGGUAGAAGAAGCACCGGCUAACUACGUG